UACGGAGGGUGCAAGCGUUAUCCGGAUUCACUGGGUUUAAAGGGUGCGUAGGCGGCUUUAUAAGUCAUUGGUGAAAGCUCGCAGCUUAACUGUGAAACUGCCAAUGAAACUGUUUAGCUUGAAUGUGGUUGAAGUGGGCGGAAUACAACAUGUAGCGGUGAAAUGCUUAGAUAUGUUGUAGAACACCGAUUGCGAAGGCAGCUCACUAAGCCAUAAUUGACGCUGAGGCACGAAAGCGUGGGUAGCGAACAGG
rnacentral:rRNA from 1 species